GGCAAGCCUGAAUUCAACUGGGUGCUAAAGCCUAGCACUGCCGACCAGCGUCUGCCUGGCGUGUUUCUGGUCAAGCCCACCACUGGCUCCAUUGCACGUGGCGAGAAGCAAGUGCUGAAAUUCUCUUACAUGCCGGGAUUACCAGGAGCCUUCAGCAGGACUUACCAGCUUAAAGUGGGUGACCUGGACCCAGAAAAUAUCUGCCUGAAAGGAGAAGCGUCCUUUCCCAUGAUCAGGGUGAACCUGCCCUGGAACAUCAAAGGAAAUGAAAAAGAUGAGAUCACUAAGAGUCAGACCUCGAAGACUCGGAAUCCAAAGACUCAGGGCCUGAAGCCCCACAUCCCUCGU